AGAGUUUGAUUCUGGCUCAGGACGAACGCUGGCGGCGUGCCUAAUACAUGCAAGUCGAGCGAGCUUGCCUAGAUGAUUUUAGUGCUUGCACUAAAUGAAACUAGAUACAAGCGAGCGGCGGACGGGUGAGUAACACGUGGGUAACCUGCCCAAGAGACUGGGAUAACACCUGGAAACAGAUGCUAAUACCGGAUAACAACACUAGACGCAUGUCUAGAGUUUGAAAGAUGGUUCUGCUAUCACUCUUGGAUGGACCUGCGGUGCAUUAGCUAGUUGGUAAGGUAACGGCUUACCAAGGCAAUGAUGCAUAGCCGAGUUGAGAGACUGAUCGGCCACAUUGGGACUGAGACACGGCCCAAACUCCUACGGGAGGCAGCAGUAGGGAAUCUUCCACAAUGGACGAAAGUCUGAUGGAGCAACGCCGCGUGAGUGAAGAAGGGUUUCGGCUCGUAAAGCUCUGUUGGUAGUGAAGAAAGAUUGAGGUAGUAACUGGCCUUUAUUUGACGGUAAUUACUUAGAAAGUCACGGCUAACUACGUGCCAGCAGCCGCGGUAAUACGUAGGUGGCAAGCGUUGUCCGGAUUUAUUGGGCGUAAAGCGAGUGCAGGCUGUUCAAUAAGUCUGAUGUGAAAGCCUUCGGCUCAACCGGAGAAUUGCAUCAGAAACUGUUGAACUUGAGUGCAGAAGAGGAGAGUGGAACUCCAUGUGUAGCGGUGGAAUGCGUAGAUAUAUGGAAGAACACCAGUGGCGAAGGCGGCUCUCUGGUCUGCAACUGACGCUGAGGCUCGAAAGCAUGGGUAGCGAACAGGAUUAGAUACCCUGGUAGUCCAUGCCGUAAACGAUGAUUGCUAAAUGUUGGGAGGUUUCCCCCUC
rnacentral:rRNA from 1 species